UACAGGGUCCGUAGCCGGUUUACUCACUCUUCUGGGACAUCUAAUCGCUUAACUAUUAGGCUUCCAGGGGAUACUGUUAGACUUGGGACCGGGAGAGGUAAGAGGUACUGCCGGGGUACGAGUGAAAUCUUGUAAUCCCUGUGAGACCACCAGUGGCGAAGGCGUCUUACCAGAACGGGUCCGACGGUGAGGGACGACAGCUGGGGGCACGAACCG
rnacentral:rRNA from 1 species